GACUACGACUCCCGGCGUGCUCCGCGGCCGCCAGAUUUAACCAUUCGAGGCAGGGGGCUGCGACCCGCCCCCGCCCCGGACCCUGCAGGGCUCCCUGGCUAUUUAAACAGAUGGGUGCCCCCAUCGGCACACUGUCCUUUGGCCACCGGACAUCAUGCCUCCCAAGAAGGAUGUUCCUAUGAAGAAACCAGCAGGGCCCUCCAUCUCUAAGCCUGCUGCCAAGCCAGCAGCAGGGGCUCCUCCAGUGAAGACCAAGGCUGAGCCAGCUGUUCCCCAGGCCCCUGAGAAAACCAAGGAGCCCCCUAUCGAUCUCUCCAAAGUUGUGAUCGAGUUUAACAAGGACCAGCUGGAGGAGUUCAAAGAGGCCUUUGAGUUGUUUGACCGAGUAGGGGAUGGCAAGAUCCUGUACAGCCAGUGUGGGGACGUGAUGAGGGCCCUGGGCCAGAACCCCACCAACGCUGAGGUGCUCAAGGUCCUGGGGAACCCCAAGAGUGACGAGCUGAAGUCCAAGCGUGUAGACUUUGAGACUUUCCUGCCCAUGCUCCAGGCAGUGGCCAAGAACCGGGACCAAGGCACAUAUGAAGACUACUUGGAGGGACUUCGUGUAUUUGAUAAGGAGGGGAACGGCAAAGUCAUGGGAGCAGAGCUCAGACACGUUCUCACCACCCUGGGUCAUGGGCAGGAGACUGAGAAGGGCCCAGCCAUGGGCAGGAGACUGAGAAGGGCCCAGCCAUGGGAGCAGAAGCUUGAAGGACUUGCUCCUCCAGAGCAAGGCCAGAGCAGGCUAAAGUGCCUCCUAAAGGACAGAAGAAAGGGGAUGAGGAGAGAAGAUGACUGAGGAGGAGGUGGAGACUGUUCUGGCAGGACAUGAGGACAGCAAUGGCUGCAUCAACUAUGAGGCCUUCCUGAAGCACAUCCUAAGCGUCUGAGCUCUACAGAUCCAGUGGGGUCGGUUACCCGGCCCCUGCAGGCAGAAGCACGUUCCAGCCACUAGGAGGCCACCUAUUGUUUCAAAAUAAAGAUGGUUCCUCCCUUGGU